UUUGUACGUACAAAGGCACGGAGUACAGGGUUGGAGAGACUUGGGACGUAGAAUGCGAACUGAACUGCAAAUGCCUCGAGGAUGACAUCUUCGUGUGCCGAGAAGGAUGUCCACCGUGGCCCGUGCCCCCGGACUGUCACGUGGAGAAGAUCCCAGGCCAGUGUUGUGAUAAAGUGCGCUGUAAUUAAUCCAGUCAACGAAUCAAAUGUGUUAGGUGCGAUUGUGCAGAGCAUCCAGAUGUGUGGAUUGCAACACACCUAUUUGUAUACACAUUAUAUGAAACAUGAGAAACCUAUGAUGGGUAUUUGUAUGCAAUGCUGAUGUGAAAAAGUUGAUGUAGAAUGGCAAAAGCUUUAUUUCAAUGGGCACUACGGAAUUUUGUAACAAACUUGUUUCGUUCAAUAGUAAAUUGCAACCAAUAAAAUAGCAAUGACUCAA